AUUGAACGCUGGCGGCAGGCCUAACACAUGCAAGUCGAACGGUAGCACAGAGAGCUUGCUCUCGGGUGACGAGUGGCGGACGGGUGAGUAAUGUCUGGGAAACUGCCCGAUGGAGGGGGAUAACUACUGGAAACGGUAGCUAAUACCGCAUAACGUCGCAAGACCAAAGUGGGGGACCUUCGGGCCUCAUGCCAUCAGAUGUGCCCAGAUGGGAUUAGCUUGUAGGUGAGGUAACGGCUCACCUAGGCGACGAUCCCUAGCUGGUCUGAGAGGGUGAUCG
rnacentral:rRNA from 1 species